CAGCAGCCGCGGUAAUUCGUAGGGUGCGAGCGUUGAUCGGAUUUACUGGGCGUAAAGCGUGCGCAGGCGGCCCGUUAAGACAGGUGUGAAAUCCCUGGGCUCAACCUAGGAAUUGCGCUUGUGACUGGCGGGCUCGAGUACGGUAGAGGGGGGUGGAAUUCCUGGUGUAGCAGUGAAAUGCGUAGAGAUCAGGCGGAACACCGAUGGCGAAGGCAGCCCCCUGGGCCUGUACUGACGCUCAUGCACGAAAGCGUGGGGAGCAAACAGGAUUAGAUACCCUGGUAGUCCACGCCCUAAACGAUGGGUACUAGCCGUUUGGUGCGCGAUAGCGCUGAGUGGCGAAGCUAACGCGUGAAGUACCCCGCCUGGGGAGUACGGCCGCAAGGUUGAAACUUAAAGGAAUUGGCGGG
rnacentral:rRNA from 1 species